rnacentral:rRNA from 1 species
CACGUAGGGUGCGAGCGUUGUCCGGAAUUAUUGGGCGUAAAGAGCUCGUAGGCGGUGUGUCGCGUCGGCCGUGAAAACCUGCAGCUUAACUGUGGGCUUGCGGUCGAUACGGGCAGGCUAGAGUUCGGUAGGGGAGACUGGAAUUCCUGGUGUAGCGGUGAAAUGCGCAGAUAUCAGGAGGAACACCGGUGGCGAAAGGCGGGUCUCUGGGCCGAUACUGACGUGAGGAGCGAAAGCGUGGGGAGCGAACAGG